rnacentral:hammerhead_ribozyme from 1 species
AUCUAGCUGACGAGUCCUAAACAAGACGAUACUCACAUCCUGGAU